rnacentral:rRNA from 1 species
GACGAACGCUGGCGGCGUGCUUAACACAUGCAAGUCGAACGAAGUGGCGAACGGGUGAGUAACGCGUAAUCAACCUGCCCUUCAGAGGGGGACAACAGUUGGAAACGACUGCUAAUACCGCAUACUGAAGGAGGGGAUUGCGUCUGAUUAGCUAGUUGGAGGGGGAACGGCCCACCAAGGCGAGGAUCAGUAGCCGGGUCGAGAGGGUUGACGGCCAAAGUGGGAACGAGACACCGCCCAAUCUCCUACGGGAGGGAGCAGGGGGGAAACGUGCGCAAGUGACGGAAGGCUGACGGAGCAAAGCCGCGUGGGUGAUGACGGCCUGUGGGGUGUAAAGCUCUGUUAAUCGGGACGCGGUACCGGAAUAGAAAGCCACGGCUAACUACGUGCCAGCAGCCGCGGUAAUAC